GACGAACGCUGGCGGCGUGCUUAACACAUGCAAGUCGAACGGAAAGGCCCUGCUUUUGUGGGGUGCUCGAGUGGCGAACGGGUGAGUGACACGUGAGUAACCUGCCCUUGACUUUGGGAUAACUUCAGGAAACUGGGGCUAAUACCGGAUAGGAGCGCCUGCUGCAUGGUGGGGGUUGGAAAGUUUCGGCGGUUGGGGAUGGACUCGCGGCUUAUCAGCUUGUUGGUGGGGUAGUGGCUUACCAAGGCUUUGACGGGUAGCCGGCCUGAGAGGGUGACCGGCCACAUUGGGACUGAGAUACGGCCCAGACUCCUACGGGAGGCAGCAGUGGGGAAUAUUGCACAAUGGGCGGAAGCCUGAUGCAGCAACGCCGCGUGCGGGAUGACGGCCUUCGGGUUGUAAACCGCUUUCGCCUGUGACGAAGCGUGAGUGACGGUAAUGGGUAAAGAAGCACCGGCUAACUACGUG
rnacentral:rRNA from 1 species